GACGAACGCUGGCGGCGUGCCUAAUACAUGCAAGUCGAACGCAGUGGGGACGGGCGAGUAACACGUGGGUAACCUGCCAUCAGAGGUGAUAAGACUUGGAAACAGGUGCUAAACCGAUAGUGAUGGAUGGUCCCGCGGUUAAUUAGCUAGUUGGUGGGCGAACGGCUCCACAAGUCCACGAUGCAUAGCCGACCUGAGAGGGUGAUCGGCCAAACUGGGAAUGGAGCACGGCCCAAGCUCCUACGGGAGGCAGCAGUAGGGAAUCUUCGGCAAUGGACGAAAGGCUGACCGAGCAAAGGCGGGUGAGUGAAGAAGGGUUUCGGAGCGUAAAACUCUGUUGUGAGAGAAGCGGUAUCUAACAAGAAAGCCACGGCUAACCACGGGCCAGCCGCCGCGGUAAUUC
rnacentral:rRNA from 1 species